GACGAACGCUGGCGGCGUGCUUAACACAUGCAAGUCGAACGGAAAGGCCCUGCUUUUGUGGGGUGCUCGAGUGGCGAACGGGUGAGUAACACGUGAGUAACCUGCCCUUGACUUUGGGAUAACUUCAGGAAACUGGGGCUAAUACCGGAUAGGAGCUCCUGCUGCAUGGUGGGGGUUGGAAAGUUUCGGCGGUUGGGGAUGGACUCGCGGCUUAUCAGCUUGUUGGUGGGGUAGUGGCUUACCAAGGCUUUGACGGGUAGCCGGCCUGAGAGGGUGAACGGCCACAUUGGGACUGAGAUACGGCCCAGACUCCUACGGGAGGCAGAAGUGGGGAAUAUUGCACAAUGGGCGGAAGCCUGAUGCAGCAACGCCGCGUGCGGGAUGACGGCCUUCGGGUUGUAAACCGCUUUCGCCUGUGACGAAGCGUGAGUGACGGUAAUGGGUAAAGAAGCACCGGCUAACUACGUG
rnacentral:rRNA from 1 species